CCCCUCUCAGGGUCACACCUGGAGAGUUUCCAGUACUUUACCAGUCUUGGCUAUGGGAGGGAGAGUCAAGCGGAGGCCUAUCCAUUCCAUUCCUAGUUUGGCCAGUGGCUAGUAGUAGAAGGCGAUCUGCUACAAGU